AUUGAACGCUGGCGGAAUGCUUCACACAUGCAAGUCGAACGGCAGCACGGGGGCUUGCUCCUGGUGGCGAGUGGCGAACGGGUGAGUAACAUAUGGGUACGCACCCAGUCGUGGGGGAUAACUAUCCGAAAGGAUAGCUUAUACCGCAUACGUCCUGAGGGAGAAAGCGGGGGAUUGCAAGACCUCGCGCGAUUGGGGCGGCCGGUAUCGGUUUAGCUAGUUGGUGGGGUAAAGGCUCACCAAGGCGACGAUCCGUAGCGGGUCUGAGAGGACGACCCGCCACACUGGAACUGAGACACGGUCCAGACUCCUACGGGAGGCAGCAGUGGGGAAUGUUGGACAAUGGGGGCAACCCUGAUCCAGCCAUUCCGCGUGUGUGAAGAAGGCCUUCGGGUUGUAAAGCUCUUUCAGCAGGAACGAAACGGUCUGCUUUAAUACAGUCGGCUAAUGACGGUACCUGCAGAAGAAGCACCGGCUAACUACGUG
rnacentral:rRNA from 1 species